ensembl:lncRNA
CUUGCAGGGGAGCUGGAACAUGAUGAUCCUUGAGGCCUCUUCCCAUCUGUAAGAGAUUAUUCUUUUGCAUCAUUGUUUCAAAGCUUGCUGAGGACACAGAUGGACAAGUCUAGGCAAGUCCUAGUCAAAGUUAGCAAAAUCUUUUGUCUGAAGAUUUUCAGUCCAGGGACAAUGUGAGAGAAAUAAGCCACAGCUUAAAGGCUGGGAACCAGUCUUUUGUGUGGGCUUAUCUUGAGGGAGAUAGCCAUCUCAGGGGGUACUGCACAUGGCUCUUACCGAAGUACCCAGGAAUGCCACAUUGGCAAAAGAAGAAGGAUAAAAAGAGGACCAACAACCAUGAGGUUUCUGACAUCAGAUUCCUCACAGCGUGAUGCCUGCACGCUGAAGAAAAAGGUGUCUGACAUCAGAUGCUUCAUGAUGUGACACCUUGCAUGAUGACAGACUCUCCUGGGCCUGCUACCUAAGACCUGCCACUUCCUCUUGGACUUACCCUGUCCCUGUACCUUCUUGCUGCCUAAGGCCGACCUCUCUGCUGCUGCUCUCAUCCUGCGCUUUUGCCUUGGACCAUUGGAAUGGCAUGCAACAGGACCGCUGCUGGAUCUUGGUGCUUGCUGAGGACACAGAUGAAGAAGCCCAAGCAAAUUCUGGUCAAGGGUUGAGAAAUCCUUCAUCUGGAGAACGCUGAUGGAGAAGUCCUGGGCAAGGGUUGUGAAAUCCUUUGUCUGAGGGACACAGAUGGACAAGGCCAGGGGCAACGAGAGAGAGACAAGCCAGAGUUAAUGGCCAGGAAGCACUCUUGUGUGUAGGCUUAUCUAAAGGUAGAUAGCCAUCUCAUCAUGUGCAGGGGGUACUGCACAUGAUUCUUACCCAAGUGCCCAGGAAUGCCAUGUUUGCAGAAGAAGAAGGAUAAAAAGGGGUCAAACAACCAUGAAGUUGGGGGUUUCUGACAACAGAUUCCUCACAGCAUGAUGCCUGCAUGCUGAAGAAGAAGAGGUGUAUAUCAUCAGAUUCCUCAUGACCUGCCUUCCCCUCCUGGACUUGCUCUGCACUCUACCUGCUUGCUGACUAAGGCCGGCCACUCUGCUCCUGCUCUCCCCUGAGGAGGUUUCUGACAACAGAUUCCUCACAAAGAAGAACAGGGUUUCUGCCAACAGAUUCCUUAUGACCUGAGACCUGCAUGUUGAAGAAGAAAGGUGUCUGAUAUCAGAAGCCUCACGAGCUGAUGCCUGCAUGCUGAUGGACUCUCUCCUGGGCCUGCUACCAGAGACCUGCUGCUUCCUCCUGGACUUACCUUGCUGCUUCUUCCUGGUACCUGCUUGCUGCCUAAGACUGGCCACGCUGCUGCUGCCCUCCCUCUGCACUUUUGCCUUGGACCAUCGGAACGGCAUGCAGCAGGACGCUGUUGGAUCCUGGUGGUACUAUCCCUCCCUGCUUUACACAAUUCUUGCUUCUUUCCUCUCUUUUCUAUCUCCUGCUUUUCCUUCCCCAUCACCCUAAUUUGUAAUAGUGUCCAUCCUCCCCUUCUCCAUCUCCCUGAUUAAGAUUUGUAAUAAACUGGUUGGACCAACAUUUGAAC